UGUUUGUUCUUUGCAUUUAGAGGUGGGUCUCUGUUUUCUAAAGGUCUUGUAUAUAAAUUCGAUUCUUAAAAUUACAUUAGAACAAAACCAGUAUUUUUUUCGCAUUGUAUAAUAGGAAAAAUGUAUUCCAAAAGACAUAGAACAUACAUGGUUAUCUCUGAAUGUCAUAUAGUCAUGAAAUUCAAUAUAAAUAGCAUCAGUGGUUUGAAUGGCUUCAUUAAGUGCAUUUAGAGGACUGCCUGUUGCAGUCAGCUGAGGUCCUUCCAUUCAGUUCCAUGGGUGCUGGAUUGGCCCACAAAGAAAAGACCAGUUAACUGAGAGAUAAAAGGAGGUGAUUUCUCUAUAGAUAGUGUGAAGUUCCAAAUGGUGCUGGUAUAGGUUACACAGAAAUGCAGUCACAUAAAAUCAAAGAAAUCACAGAAAAUGAAGUUAUUUCAGGUGAAUUUGGUGUUAGUGAUGAGUUUGAGCUUUAUUCAUAUCUAAAAACAUAGAACAGGACAAGUGAGUCCAAAAGAAAGAAAGGAAGAGUUGAAAUGGGUGACAGAGAAGAGGUGAGUGACAGGAUACUGGCAGGUGGGCAAGGACCUAAAUGAUGACAGACAGUUUUAACAACUAGUCCAAAAAGAUCAAAUGUUCAAAGGUUCUGAUCCACUGGAGGUGCUGAUUGGGUAAAUAACUGAAAAGACAGGCAUUAAGCUGCUUUUUGGAGGGGGUGGGGAGGGAGAGCAAUGCGAGUUUUGGGUGAUCGUACCACAGAGUAGAGAGGGUUUGUUAAGUUUCCCUGGAGGAGAAUGAAUGUCUGAUACUCCCAGAUAAUUUCUUCACAAGCAGCUGUAGCAGCCACGAGGAGUGACGUGGAGAGCUGCAGCUCUGGUGAUGUCCCCUGGCCUGCACACUGUGUGCACCUGGGGUGCUUUGCCCAUGCUGCUGGGGUACCUCUUCCAGCUUAGUCUCAUCUGAAGGGAAUCCAGGCUGUGCUCAGGGACUGCACAAGGAGUGGGGCAUUUGAGGGGCUGGCUCCAGAAGCUCACUGCUGCUCCAAACCUGGACACUGAUGGAGAUGCUGGCAGCACGUGGAGCCGAGAGCAGUGAAAGCCCAAAGGAGUACUGCACACACUGAAGAGGUCACCAGGAGCUGUUGUGCAGGGUAUAUUCCUUUCCUACUGCAGCUCUUGGUCGUUCCAUCCAGCAUGGACAAAAAGGCUGCACAGCGUUCAGUUUCUGGAAGAUCUCUCUUUCUCUGGGAGAAGGAGGGCUGCUGUGAGUUUUAUUUCACUGUGAUCAAGUUAUUCCUCCUGGACAGUGUGAAAGACAAAUCGGGGAGUUUUGGAUACCAUCUCUUGAAGAGAAUGAAUCUGGAUUCAAUGCAGCUGGCUAUAGAAAGAAUUGCAGAAGUACUGAUUUAAUUGACUCCAUGGAUUUGCAACCAGCAGUUCAGCAGCUGCUUCAUGAGCCAUCCUUGCAGGAGGGGAACGUCAGAGGGAUGGAUUUCUCUAACUGGGAAGAUAUGACAGGUUGUGAUAUUGGACUGCAGUGAAGCUCCACCUGUGCCGUUCUAACCUUCAUGAGUGAGCAGUGCUGGGCAGUGCAGCAGGCACGCUCCUGCCCUUUUCAGAAGGCAUGGAGAACACUUGUCCAGUCAUAACUGAAACUAUUCAAGAUGCAUAGGCCUGAAAUGUCACCUUAAGUUUCUGUUGCUCUCUGAUGUGGAUCCUGUCUUCUAGCAAACUUUAUGGACAACAGCUUUUGUUACAAGGAGAGAUGCUUUGAUUCUCUCCUUAAUGCAAGCCCCACACCUUCACCUAGAUUCCUUCCUGGGCAGCUGCAGUGGAUCUGAACACCAAGGGAAUUUGGCCCACUGGAUUCCUUUCCUUUCUCUGCAGUUGAAUGAAAAGUGUGUGUCUUUUGAAGAAUAGCAACUGAAAGAAAUAUUGAUGACUGCCAGAGCAUCUACAGAAAAGGAUAAGAAAAUUACAACAGUGGAGACAAAGGGGCUUUGUUAACUCUUUCUUGUAGGUUGUAUAUAUUAAUAGAAACAAGUAAAGUUUUGUAUUUUUUAAGAGAAACACACAAGGCUUUGAAUUGUAUUGUUUUAGUUGCAGCUAACUGAAUGAAUUAAGUGGAAAAUUGAACACACUACUUUGAUUGUCUAACUCUCUGUAUGUGAGGCUUUGGGAACAGUUUGUUAUUAUAAAAGAAUAGUACUAACAAGAAAACAGCCAGCAUGUAAUUGCUGGGUUGAGGGGCAGUUUGGGGAAGGCUGAUACUUAUUUAUGAAUUAUUAAAUAAAAGCGCAUAAUAAGUGGAUCAUCUCUCACUGCCUCCACACUUGAUACAUUACUCAUCUUCCUAAAUUUCAUCUUUUUGUACACCCUUAGUCCAUUGCUUCUUAUAACCAGUGCAGGCAUCAAACCACCCACGUCCAGGAAAGGAGAUGCCUGUGCAGUUGUUAUGAUGGCAGUUUUGGUUAUGGGACUCAUCUAAGAAUAUGAACCUUCAGUUCAAGGACAGAAAUUUUGACUGGACUUUUAAAGGUUGUUUUACGUGCCUAAAUACACACGAGCACCUGGGACUCUUUUCAGGUAGCUUAAACUCUGGCCAGUGUUUCAACUUGACUAGGUACCUUUGCUGAUUUACAGCCAGCCUCUACCCUAAAUGGAAGGACUGAAGAGCAAUUUGGGCAUUAAAUUUACCAAGGUUCUCAAAAACACAUUGGUUAUGUAAUUCCCAUCAAUUUUGGUAAGAAAGAGGUAACUUCUGAUUAUCUUGUAUUGUUCUCACUGCUCAUUAGUGCCUUACUACCUUAGUAAACACUCCUUUCUGCAAGACACAGAGAGGAGGUCGGUGGUGGUUGGGCUCACCAAGAAGGUAGAACAGUUUUUCAUCCUCAAUGUUUUUGACUAUUUCAGCCCUCCUGGAGGAUGGAGUUGCCAUUCAUUCCUCCAGCAUAAAUUUGAGGGCAGUCUUCUAGGAAAGCAAGGUGUCUCUGUUUCAGAGGACCCAGUUGCUAACUGGUUGCACUGACACAUAAGCAGUUCGUCACAUGCCUAUGUAACGAAGGGGUGGGUAAUGUCCUGGCCUCACAAAGUGAGGUGCAUGUCCUACAGACUGAGGGAGCAUUGUCUGGGGAUGGAAAGGUGUGUCAGCACCUGGAUAGCUGGCUCUGCUGGACACAUCUUUGAGCUUGCUGUGCUGCUAUAUACUAAGACAUUUGUGCUGUAUAAACAAACCACACUGUUAAACCACUUAAACAGUGUUUAUGCAACUUUAAAAUGGUAGAGGCUUAAUUUUUUACUUCAUCCACAGGCUUAUUAAAACUUACAUAUUCACACUGAAAUGGUGUGAAAAGAUUAAAUUGCUAAUCCUGGCUACCAGCCUAGCUGAUGUGAGACUGUUGCACAGAAGGUGCCUGAGAGGUGGAACUGGGCAGAGUUUAUCUUUGCACAGCUGUUGCCAAAGAGUUGCUUGGUAUCCCUGUCACUGUUUUUUGAAGUCCAAAAAUAUUUUCCCCCAAAUAAUAACCUAUUUUUUCUGCAAGAGAACACAGCUGCAUCUAUGAAAGGUCUUGGCUUUUACAGUAAGUCUGGUUUGUAUAGUUUCCUCUCUAUAUGUAUGUUGUCUGCAGAAUUGCCAACAGUCAUAAUGAAAAACACAGUUUUGUUACUUUCAACAGUGGUUUUGAGUAAUUUAGAAAAUAUUGGAGCUACUUCCAACAAAUGAAAAAAAUCGAAGCAGCUUUGAAAAUGUUGAUACACUUAGGGAAAUAAAUCUUUGGUUUUAGCUCUGUUAUUCUCUCUCUGAUACUAAAACCAAUAUAAAGCACUACUGAUUUCAAUCAGCUCAACAGGGGAUACUGUAUGGCUUCCACUCCACUGUUCCCUGGGUUAAAUCUCAGCUGUGAGCUCGUACAACUUUGGCUGGGUUUUAUGGGACAGUCUCUCUUCAACCUUUGUGUGCACUGUGAAAGCUGUCCUCGUUGCACCUCUUUUUCCAGCACAACGUGGGAAAGUUCUCCUCUAUCAGAAAACUUGUAUGGGAGGCGCUCAAAAUGUAAGGCCUU